rnacentral:misc_RNA from 1 species
AGCAGCCGCGGUAAUUCCAGCUCCAAUAGCGUAUAUUAAAGUUGUUGCAGUUAAAAAGCUCGUAGUUGAAUUUCGAGACCGGUUUACUGGUCGUGCUUUUGUACGUACUGGUAUUAUUGGUUUCUCCUUUCUGACGAAUCAUAAUGCCAUUAAUUUGGUGUUUUGGGGAAUCAGGACUGUUACUUUGAAAAAAUUAGAGUGUUUAAAGCAGGCUCACGCUUGAAUACAUUAGCAUGGAAUAACGAAAUAGGACGUUUGAUUUUAUUUUGUUGGUUUCUAGGAUCGACGUAAUAAUUAAUAGGGAUAGUUGGGGGCAUUAGUAUUCAAUUGUCAGAGGUGAAAUUCUUGGAUUUAUUGAAGACUAACUACUGCGAAAGCAUUUGCCAAGGAUGUUUUCAUUAAUCAAGAACGAAAGUUAGGGGAUCGAAGACGAUCAGAUACCGUCGUAGUCUUAACCAUAAACUAUGCCGACUAGGGAUCGGAUGAUGUUAAUUUUUUAAUGACUCAUUCGGCGCCUUAC